AUUGAACGCUGGCGGCAGGCCUAACACAUGCAAGUCGAGCGGCAGCGGGAAAGUAGCUUGCUACUUUUGCCGGCGAGCGGCGGACGGGUGAGUAAUGCCUGGGGAUCUGCCCAGUCGAGGGGGAUAACUACUGGAAACGGUAGCUAAUACCGCAUACGCCCUACGGGGAAAGCAGGGGACCUUCGGGCCUUGCGCGAUUGGAUGAACCCAGGUGGGAUUAGCUAGUUGGUGAGGUAAUGGCUCACCAAAGCGACGAUCCCUAGCUGGUCUGAGAGGAUGAUCAGCCACACUGGAACUGAGACACGGUCCAGACUCCUACGGGAGGCAGCAGUGGGGAAUAUUGCACAAUGGGGGAAACCCUGAUGCAGCCAUGCCGCGUGUGUGAAGAAGGCCUUCGGGUUGUAAAGCACUUUCAGCGAGGAGGAAAGGUUGGUAGCUAAUAACUGCCAGCUGUGACGUUACUCGCAGAAGAAGCACCGGCUAACUCCGUGCCAGCCGCCGCCGUAA
rnacentral:rRNA from 1 species